rnacentral:rRNA from 1 species
GAUGAACGCUGGCGGCGUGCCUAAUACAUGCAAGUCGAGCGAACAGAUGAGGAGCUUGCUCCUCUGACGUUAGCGGCGGACGGGUUAGUAACACGUGGAUAACCUACCUAUAAGACUGGGAUAACUUCGGGAAACCGGAGCUAAUACCGGAGAAUAUAUUGAACCGCAUGGUUCAAUAGUGAAAGACGGUUUUGCUGUCACUUAUAGAUGGAUCCGCGCCGCAUUAGCUAGUUGGUAAGGUAACGGCUUACCAAGGCAACGAUGCGUAGCCGACCUGAGAGGGUGAUCGGCCACACUGGGACUGAGACACGGUCCAGACUCCUACGGGAGGCAGCAGUAGGGAAUCUUCCGCAAUGGGCGAAAGCCUGACGGAGCAACGCCGCGUGAGUGAUGAAGGUCUUCGGAUCGUAAAACUCUGUUAUUAGGGAAGAACAACUGUGUAAGUAACUAUGCACGUCUUGACGGUACCUAAUCAGAAAGCCACGGCUAACUACGUG